rnacentral:rRNA from 1 species
UGCGCAGGCGGACUCGUAAGUCAGAAGUGAAAUCUCGGCGCUCAACGCCGAAACGUCUUUUGAUACUGCGGGUCUUGAAUCGGGGAGAGAUCCGUGGAAUUCCGAGUGUAGCAGUGAAAUGUGUAGAUAUUCGGAAGAACACCAGCGGCGAAGGCAGCGGAUUGGCCCUAGAUUGACGCUCAGGCACGAAAGCAUGGGGAUCAAACAGGAUUAGAUACCCUGGUAGUCCAUGCCCUAAACGAUGAUCACUUGGUGUCGGCCGUAAGGUCGGUGCCGGAGCUAACGCGUUAAGUGGUCCACCUGGGGAGUACGCUCGCAAGGGUGAA